GCUGCACCCGGCGAGCAAGGUGCUCGAAGCCCCGAGAACGCAGGACGCCGCUCGGGCAGCGAGACGGCCGGGAAGCACGAGAGGCCGGGGAGCGGCGGCGGCGGCCUCCUUACCUUUCCAGAUGCCCAGAGAGAGCUGGGACGUGUCCAAGUCCACCACAUAGUCCCCCAAGAACCGGUUCAACACGUCCACGACCACCGACUCGAAAACCAUGUUCCUCAGCCGUGGUGGGCACGGCAGCCGGCCCGUGCGCUCCUCCUCCCGCCGCCUUCCCCACGCCCCUCCCUCGAGAGUAACACGCUUCCCUGCAGAUAAGAGUUGGAGUCAGCCGGUCUGGAAACUGCUGAACACCCUCCAAGAAAUACUGGGAGUGCUGGACCCUUGACCCCUAUGCCUCCACCGAACCACUGACCUAAAAUAAAUUACAAUUACAGAUCUUUCG